GGUUAAGUUAGAAAGGGCGCACGGUGGAUGCCUUGGCACUAGGAGCCGAAGAAGGACGGGACUAACACCGAUAUGCUUUGGGGAGCUGUACGUAAGCGUUGAUCCAGAGAUUUCCGAAUGGGGGAACCCACUAUCUUUAGUCGGAUAGUAUCCUUACGUGAAUACAUAGCGUGAGGAAGGCAGACCCAGGGAACUGAAACAUCUAAGUACCUGGAGGAAGAGAAAGAAAAAUCGAUUUCCUGAGUAGCGGCGAGCGAAACGGAAAGAGCCCAAACCAAGAAGCUUGCUUCUUGGGGUUGUAGGACACUCUAUACGGAGUUACAAAAGAAAGUUAUAAAUGAAGCGGUCUGGAAAGGCCCGCCAAAGACGGUAACAGCCCGGUAGUUGAAAUGGCUUUCCCUCCAGAGUGGAUCCUGAGUACGGCGGAACACGUGAAAUUCCGUCGGAAUCCGGGAGGACCAUCUCCCAAGGCUAAAUACUCCCUAGUGACCGAUAGUGAACCAGUACCGUGAGGGAAAGGUGAAAAGCACCCCGGAAGGGGAGUGAAACAGUUCCUGAAACCGUGUGCCUACAAGUAGUUAGAGCCCGUUAAUGGGUGAUAGCGUGCCUUUUGUAGAAUGAACCGGCGAGUUACGAUUUGUUGCAAGGUUAAGCGGAAAAAGCGGAGCCGUAGCGAAAGCGAGUCUGAAUAGGGCGCAUAAGUAACAGGUCGUAGACCCGAAACCAGGUGAUCUACCCAUGUCCAGGAUGAAGGUAAGGUAAUACUUACUGGAGGUCCGAACCCACGCACGUUGAAAAGUGCGGGGAUGAGGUGUGGGUAGCGGAGAAAUUCCAAUCGAACUUGGAGAUAGCUGGUUCUCUCCGAAAUAGCUUUAGGGCUAGCCUCGAGGUAAAGAGUCAUGGAGGUAGAGCACUGUUUGGACUAGGGGCCCUUCUCGGGUUACCGAAUUCAGAUAAACUCCGAAUGCCAUGUACUUAUACUCGGGAGUCAGACUGCGAGUGAUAAGAUCCGUAGUCGAAAGGGAAACAGCCCAGACCACCAGUUAAGGUCCCCAAAUAUAUGUUAAGUGGAAAAGGAUGUGGGGUUGCUUAGACAACCAGGAUGUUGGCUUAGAAGCAGCCACCAUUGAAAGAGUGCGUAAUAGCUCACUGGUCGAGUGACCCCGCGCCGAAAAUGUACCGGGGCUAAACAUAUUACCGAAACUGUGGAUGAACCUCUUUAGAGGUUCGUGGUAGGAGAGCGUUCUAAGGGCGGUGAAGUCAGACCGGAAGGACUGGUGGAGCGCUUAGAAGUGAGAAUGCCGGUAUGAGUAGCGAAAGAAGGGUGAGAAUCCCUUCCACCGAAUAUCUAAGGUUUCCUGAGGAAGGCUCGUCCGCUCAGGGUUAGUCGGGACCUAAGCCGAGGCCGAUAGGCGUAGGCGAUGGACAACAGGUAGAGAUUCCUGUACCAGUGCUAAUUGUUUAACCGAUGGGGUGACACAGAAGGAUAGGGAAUCGCACGAAUGGAAAUGUGCGUCCAAGCAGUGAGUGUGAGAAGUAGGCAAAUCCGCUUCUCGCGAAGCAUGAGCUGUGAUGGGGAAGGAAAUUAAGUACGGAAGUUCCUGAUUUCACGCUGUCAAGAAAAGCCUCUAGGAAGAGUAGUACUGCCCGUACCGCAAACCGACACAGGUAGAUGAGGAGAGAAUCCUAAGGUGAGCGAGAGAACUCUCGUUAAGGAACUCGGCAAAAUGACCCCGUAACUUCGGGAGAAGGGGUGCUCUAUUAGGGUGCAAGCCCGAGAGAGCCGCAGUGAAUAGGCCCAGGCGACUGUUUAGCAAAAACACAGGUCUCUGCAAAACCGUAAGGUGACGUAUAGGGGCUGACGCCUGCCCGGUGCUGGAAGGUUAAGAGGAGUGCUUAGCUUCGGCGAAGGUACGAAUUGAAGCCCCAGUAAACGGCGGCCGUAACUAUAACGGUCCUAAGGUAGCGAAAUUCCUUGUCGGGUAAGUUCCGACCCGCACGAAAGGCGCAACGAUCUGGGCACUGUCUCAACGAGAGACUCGGUGAAAUUAUAGUACCUGUGAAGAUGCAGGUUACCCGCGACAGGACGGAAAGACCCCGUGGAGCUUUACUGCAACCUGAUAUGGAAUGUUUGUACCGCUUGUACAGGAUAGGUAGGAGCCGAAGAGACGUGUGCGCUAGCAUACGAGGAGGCAAUGGUGGGAUACUACCCUGGCUGUAUGACCAUUCUAACCCGCCACGCUUAGCGCGUGGGGAGACAGUGUCAGGUGGGCAGUUUGACUGGGGCGGUCGCCUCCUAAAGAGUAACGGAGGCGCCCAAAGGUUCCCUCAGAAUGGAUGGAAAUCAUUCGCAGAGUGUAAAGGCACAAGGGAGCUUGACUGCGAGACU
rnacentral:rRNA from 1 species